GUGGCAGCCGCCGCGGUAAUACCGGCGUCCCGAGUGGCGGCCACUAUUAUUGGGCCUAAAGCGUCCGUAGCCGGCCCAGUAAGUCCCCCGGGAAAUCUGGUCGCUCAACGAUCAGACUUCCGGGGGAUACUGCUGGGCUAGGGACCGGGAGAGGCCGAGGGUAUUCCCGGGGUAGGGGUGAAAUCCUGUAAUCCCGGGAGGACCACCUGUGGCGAAGGCGCUCGGCUAGAACGGGUCCGACGGUGAGGGACGAAGGCCUGGGGAGCGAACCGGAUUAGAUACCCGGGUAGUCC
rnacentral:rRNA from 1 species